rnacentral:tRNA from 1 species
CCGACUUUAGCUCAGUUGGUAGAGCGGAAGACUGUAGUAUGAAUUAGCUGUUAUCUUUAGGUCGCUGGUUCGAAUCCGGCAAGUCGGA